rfam:Streptomyces sp. 13-12-16 NODE_523_length_3571_cov_38.198822, whole genome shotgun sequence.
CUUGAUCGAUCCCAGCCACAGCGGCCUGCCGUCGGGGCGGUCCUGCCCGUAGGUGGCCAGCAGGGCCUGCGCCUC